AUCCUGACACAGGGAGGUAGUGACAAUAAAUAACAAUAUCGGGGUUUUUCAACUCUGAUAAUUGGAAUGAGAACAAUCUAAAUCCCUUAACGAGGAUCCAUUGGAGGGCGAGUCUGGUGCCAGCAGCCGCGGUAAUUCCAGCUCCAAUAGCGUAUAUUUAAGUUGUUGCAGUUAAAAAGCUCGUAGUUGGACUUCGGUUAAGAGCGACCGGUCCGCCGUUUGGUGUGCACUGGUUGGUUUUAACUUCCUGUAGAGGACGUGCUCUGGGCUUAACGGUCUGGACUCGGAGUCUACGUGGUUACUUUGAAAAAAUUAGAGUGUUCAAAGCGGGCUUACGCUUGAAUAUUUCAGCAUGGAAUAACACUAUAGGACUCCAGUCCUAUUUCGUUGGUCUCGGGACGGGAGUAAUGAUUAAGAGGAACAGUUGGGGGCAUUCGUAUUUCAUUGUCAGAGGUGAAAUUCUUGGAUUUAUGAAAGACGAACUUCUGCGAAAGCAUUUGCCAAGGAUGUUUUCAUUAAUCAAGAACGAAAGUUGGGGGCUCGAAGAUGAUUAGAUACCAU
rnacentral:rRNA from 1 species